rnacentral:rRNA from 1 species
UACAGAGGUCUCAAGCGUUGUUCGGAUUCAUUGGGCGUAAAGGGUGCGUAGGUGGCGGGGUUAGUCAGGUGUGAAAUCUCGGGGCUCAACCCCGAAACUGCACUUGAUACUGCCUUGCUAGAGUACUGGAGAGGAGAUUGGAAUUUACGGUGUAGCAGUGAAAUGCGUAGAUAUCGUAAGGAAGACCAGUGGCGAAGGCAAAUCUCUGGACAGUUACUGACACUGAGGCACGAAGGCCAGGGGAGCAAACGGG